ACCCCUUAGAAUAUUUUUUCCUCCAGACUAAACAGUCUUAGCAUUCCCAGCCUUUCCUAGUAUGAAUGACACUCACAAUCUUCCUCACGGCCCUCUGUUGGAUUCCCCCCAUUAUGUCUGCCUCUCUCUUGUACUGGGGAGUCCAGAACUGCACACAGUACUCCAUGUUUGGCUUCACCAGUGCUGCGUAGAGGGAAGGAUCCCCUUCCUCAACCUGCUGACAACAUUUCUAAUGAAGCCCAGAAUACCAUUAGCUGCCUUUUGUGCAUGGGCAUAUUGUUGGCUGAUAGUCAAUGUGGUGUCCACCAGGAGCUCGGGUCCUUUUCUGUAAGGCUUUUCAGUCAGGUGUUCCUCAGCAUGUACUGAUCCAUGACCCAUGAACUUCAUUACAGUGGUACUAAGUGUCAGUAGAGCAGGCAGGAUGGUCCUCAAGUAUGAACUUAAACAGAAGUCUGGAGUUCUUUCCCAGAGUGUGUUUAACCAGUUUUUCAUAACAGUCAUCACUUUUGCCAUUCACUGAAAAUUCAAAAUUAUAAUUUGUAAAACACUGAGUUCCUUGAAAGGAAAGCUUCAUAUAUCUGAUAAUAGAAUAGAAUAGAAUAGAAUAGAAUAGAAUAGAAUAGAAUAGAAUAGAAUAGAAUAGAAUAAUUCUAGUUCAAACUAGUCCAACACUUCAGGGCAGACUGAACAUUAAGGGAUACUAUUAAGGGCAUUGACCACUGCUCUAGGAAGCUUGGUCCAGUGUUUGGUCACUCUCUCUCUAAAGAAGUGUUGCCUAAUAUCUGGUCUGAACCUCACCUGCUGCAUCUUUAAAUCAUUCCUGCAUGUCCUGUCACUGAAUACCAGGGAAAAAAGCUCAGCAUCUCCCUCCAGUUCCCCUCCUCAGGAAGCUGUAGAUAGCAGUGGGCUUGCCUCUCAAUCCCCUUUUUUUCCUAACUAAAUAAACCCAGAGUGCUUAGCCACUCCUCAGAGGACAUGUGUCCUAGCAUUUCAGCAGCUUUGUUAUCCUCCUCUGGACACAUUCAGUUAACAUCCUUUUUAAUUUCGGGGUGAGAGAAAUUCUGAUAAUUUACUGUUCUUUUAUGAUGGCUGGUUACACACUACAUUUUUUUGUAGACCACAAAGAAAAGAAAUUUUAAAUUAUUGAUUACUUUGACUUUUUGGAGGGGGACAAAGAGAGUGUAGAAGUCCUGUGGGGAGCCUAAGGCCAACCUUCUUGAGGGACUCAGAAUGCCUGUUAAUUCAUUGAUGUCCUGGUGUUAAAAUCUGCCAGUUUGUCUGGUCAGCUCAAGCAGCAUUGUCAAAGAGGGGAUGAUAUAAUAUAAUUUCAGGUAUAUGCAUUAAAAAUACCUUCUGCAUAUCUGGGAAUCAAAUGCUAAGGACUUUAUGGAGAAAAUACAAAGAAACAUUGAUCCUUUAUGUAAUUUCAUAUAGGUCAUUAAUCAAAUAUAUAUUAAGGGUGUAUCUAAUUCCAGUGGACCAAAAGUCAAUUUUGUUGAGCCAGAUCUUAAGGAUGUAUUUCAACUGAAUUAGUUUUUUAAAUGUGCCCCUUCUCUUCCUUGUUGGUUGACAUGAGCUAAUGAGUUGCUAGCAACUCUGUUUGGUACUACCUUAGGUCACAGAGUGAUGUGCUGUCUAGGAUGUUGCUGUACUUUUUUGGCAGCAGAUUGUAAUUUCAUUGAGUAAAUGUAUUUUAUGAGGUUAGAGGGAGCUACUGUUAAUUUAUGAAGACCACCGUGUAUCAGUGCAUUGGGUUUGCAUGGCCAGGUUUUGGUAGCUGGGGGGCUACAGGGUGGCUUCUAUGAGAAGCUGCCAGAAACUUCCUCCAUGUCCAGCAGAAACAAUGCCAGCUGGCUCCAGAUGGAUGUUCUGCUGGCUAAGGCUAAGCCAGUCAGGAAUGAUAGUAACACUUCUGUGGUAUCAUUCUUGAGAAGCAAAGAAAACUUGCACAGAAGCAAUUGUGGCCAUAGAAGAAUGGAAGGAGAAUAUGUGACAGUAGCAACUCUGCAGACAUCAAGGUCAGCAAAGAAGGCAAGGCAGGAGGGUCUCUGGGUACCAGAGCUGAGAUCCCCCUGCAGCCUGUGGUGAAGACCAUGGUGAGGCAGGAUGUGCUCCUGUAGCCCAUGGAAAUCCAUUGGAGUGCAGAGAUCCACCUGCAGCCCAUGGAGGGAGCCCCACACUGGAGCAGGGAAUGCCUGAAGGAAGGUUGUGACACCUUGGAAAACCUGUGCUGGAACAGGCUCCUGGCAGGGACCUGCAGAUCCAUGGAGGGAGGAGCCCACACUGGAGCAGAUUUCCUGACAGGACUUGUGAUCCCAUGGGAGCCCAUGAUGGAGCAGCUUGUUCUUGAAGGACUGAACUCCGUGGAGAGGGAUUUGUUUUGGAGCAGUUUGUGAAGAACUGUAACCCAUGAGAAGAAUUCAUGCUUGAGGAAUUCAUGGAGGACUGUUUCCUAUGGAAAGGACCCCAGACUAGAGCUGGGAAAUGACUCCUCUCCUUGAGGAGGGAGUAGCAACAGAAACAACAUGUGAUGAACUGC
rnacentral:lncRNA from 1 species